rnacentral:piRNA from 1 species
UGACGGGCUGCUCAAUGUUCUCUACAGUUUU